rnacentral:lncRNA from 1 species
GUGAUAGGCUGAACUAAAAGGCAGACAAAACACAUCAGAAAAGGUCUGAAGGACACCGGAUUGUUGACUAUGCUUCAACAAAGACCUGACACAGCCUCAGUGGUCUUUCCCCAGCAUGAAGACAGCAUUCUUACUGCACAGGCUGUUCUUAGCCACAUUGUUUGGCCAGGAGAUGAGGGCGAUGAUGAAGACGAUGAUGAUCCACCUUACCCACUAAGCAUCCAAAUGCAAACAGUGGGAUUUCUGAAGACCUACAUUGAAACAGGCAACUGUAAUUGC